rnacentral:rRNA from 1 species
GACGAACGCUGGCGGCGUGCUUAACACAUGCAAGUCGAACGGAAAGGCCCUGCUUGCAGGGUACUCGAGUGGCGAACGGGUGAGUAACACGUGGGUGAUCUGCCCUGCACUUCGGGAUAAGCCUGGAAAACUGGGUCUAAUACCGGAUAGGAGCCAUUUUUAGUGUGAUGGUUGGAAAGUUUUUUCGGUGUAGGAUGAGCUCGCGGCCUAUCAGCUUGUUGGUGGGGUAAUGGCCUACCAAGGCGGCGACGGGUAGCCGGCCUGAGAGGGUGGACGGCCACAUUGGGACUGAGAUACGGCCCAGACUCCUACGGGAGGCAGCAGGGGGGAAUAUUGCACAAUGGGCGCAAGCCUGAUGCAGCGACGCCGCGGGGGGGAUGACGGCCUUCGGGUUGUAAACUCCUUUCGCUAGGGACGAAGCUUUUUGUGACGGUACCUAGAUAAGAAGCACCGGCUAACUACGUG